rnacentral:rRNA from 1 species
UACGUAGGGUGCAAGCGUUGUCCGGAAUUAUUGGGCGUAAAGAGCGUGUAGGCGGCCCCGUUAGUCCGCUGUGAAAGUCCAGGGCUCAACCCUGGAAUGCCGGUGGAUACUGCGUGGCUAGAGUCCGGAAGGGGCGAGUGGAAUUCCUGGUGUAGCGGUGAAAUGCGCAGAUAUCAGGAGGAACACCAAUGGCGAAGGCAGCUCGCUGGGACGUGACUGACGCUGAGACGCGAAAGCGUGGGGAGCAAACAGG